rnacentral:tRNA from 1 species
GCGGAGGUGGUGGAAUGGCAGACACGCUACUUUGAGGGGGUAGUGGGCGUUAGCUCGUGUGAGUUCAAGUCUCAUUCUCCGCACCA